AUCGCUUCUCGGCCUUUUGGCUAAGAUCAAGUGUAGUAUCUGUUCUUAUCAAUUUAAAAUAUAUUUUUGUCUGGGGCCAGGGAUUUAGCUCAGUGGUUCUGCUGCCUGCCUUGCAAGCGCAAGGUCCUGAGUUCAAUCCCCGGUACCAAACAUAU
ensembl:snRNA U2 U2 spliceosomal RNA